AGUAAUACAUAAGUAACCUGCCCUAGACGAGGGGGAUAACUAUUGGAAACGAUAGCUAAGACCGCAUAGGUACGGACACUGCAUGGUGACCGUAUUAAAAGUGCCUCAAAGCACUGGUAGAGGAUGGACUUAUGGCGCAUUAGCUGGUUGGCGGGGUAACGGCCCACCAAGGCGACGAUGCGUAGCCGACCUGAGAGGGUGACCGGCCACACUGGGACUGAGACACGGCCCAG
rnacentral:rRNA from 1 species